rnacentral:tRNA from 1 species
GGGCUUGUAGCUCAGCCUGGCAACGGUUUCGUCCGUUUCAAAAAAAGCUAACGAUGAAACGUUAGGCAAUAGAGCGUCCGGUUGGCAAUCGGGAGGCCUCGGGUUCAAAUCCCGACAAGUCCA